GCGGACUCAGCUCUGUUCAAACGGCAGGGGGCAGCGCUCUCCGUUUGGGCGGAAAAGCUCAGGGGGAAACAGCAGCUCUUCGCGGAGCGAGAGCACGUCUUCGAGGCGACUUGCCUGGCUCUGGGCGGGCCUCACAGAUGCUGCGUUCUCCUUUUUUUUUUUUUUUUUUUUUUUUGCGUUUAUGCUGCGUUCUCCUACCUGCUGCCUCACCUGCACCGGAGCUUUCGCCACGGAGAGUGGGCGUCUCUCACCGAGCUUCAGCCUCUCACUCUCUCGCCCUGCGCUCCUCGCUCACACACCGCCAGCCGCUUAACUCACCGGCCUUUCCAACUCGCUGUGCCGCAGCAGCUCCACCUCCCACCUUGGCUCAACGGAGGCUCCCUCGCUCAGUGGCUCAGCUGUUCCUGCUAAGGAGAAGCGACGCUCACGCUGUCAUCGCGCUUUCCGUUUGGAGCAGUAGCAUCCGGUGCUGAAAAUUCCUGAACAAAGGAUUUCCAUACUCUACCAGAUCAAAUAAGGUGACCAGCUCUUGGAUUUGCUGGCAAGCUUGCCUUAAUCACUCUACAACCAGAGAAGAGCUC
ensembl:lncRNA